CUUGCUUCUCCGCCGGCGACCGGCGCACGGGUGAGUAACACGUAUGGAACCUGCCCGCCACAGGGGGAUAACCCGGGGAAACCCGGCCUAAUACCCCAUGCCGCCCGGACCGGGCAUCCGGUCCGGGCGAAAGGAGGAAUCCGGUGGCGGCUGGGCAUGCGGCGCAUUAGCUUGACGGCGGGGUAACGGCCCACCGUGGCGACGAUGCGUAGGGGUUCUGAGAGGAAGGCCCCCCACACUGGAACCGAGACACGGUCCAGACUCCUACGGAAGGCAGCAG
rnacentral:rRNA from 1 species